rnacentral:lncRNA from 1 species
UCUGGGUAUAUAUAUUUUUCCUGGGAUUGUUAGCUACAAUCUGAAAUGCUCCAUCGGCAAAUUACAAGAAAUACACCGGAUUUUUAAUAGAAAAAUAGCAAUCCAAGUACAAAAAACACGACAAUGAGAAUAAUGAAGCAUAUGAAAACAGUAAAAUAAGAAGAGCAGAAGAAAGGAGCAAAUAUUAGACUGAAGGAGAAUCACAUUUGAAAAAUUUAAGUCUACUCUUCCACAACAGAUUCACCGAUUUUGUUGUUGUACUUUCUCGCAUAUCUCUGGUUCCUCAAAACCUUUGGGUCCAACAGUUUGGAAUUCAACAUGUAAAAAUAAGGAAAAUUUAUCAUAAAUCCACACAUAUAAAGGAAAUCGGCGGAAUAAAAACGAACCCCUUUUGUGGAGGUGUAACGGUGGCGUUAGGGCUUGACACCGUUCUUGUGAGACUGGUUAUGGGUGGAGUGGUUCUUCGAUUUCUCCGUUUUCUUCUCUUCUCUACAUGGGAAGGAUAAAA